AGCUUUCUGAAUCCGUGCAGAUUUUGUCAGGCACCAAUCAAUUAGUGCCGAACAGACUUCCAAGAUAAGUGAAGUU
rfam:Schistosoma haematobium scaffold719_1, whole genome shotgun sequence.